GUGUGGCGCUGGCGCGGGGUGUGGUGGUGCGUCGCCUGUUGGCGGUGGCUGAGGCGUCGGGUUCGGUGUCUGCGCUGCAUG
rnacentral:tRNA from 1 species